CGAUAGUAAGAAUAUUCCAGGAUCAAACGAAUAUUUUAUAACCACUUGCUUAUUUGAAAUAUUUGCGUAUUUUACCCAUAACUAUCCACAUUAAUCAAAUCAACCCUUACUAUUUCAAAAUAAUAAAUGGAGGAAAUUCAAUUUUAUUUAUAAUAAGUUGGGGUCUUAUAGUAAUAUUAUGUAGUAACCAUGGUAAUAUUACACAGUAAACAAGUCAGCA
rnacentral:lncRNA from 1 species